GGUUAUGCAGUAUGUCCAGUUUUAUGUUUGUUAUGUAUUUUUUUGCUUUAUAGAAAAAAAAAGAUGGCUUUGAGCAAAAAUAUCAGCAUCCCUGACACCUGUAAACAUUCAGUGGUCAGAACACCACUACAUAUCCUUCAAAUGAUAUGGACCAGUGAAGCUGGAAGGUAUCUGCACUCAACCGGACAGCCUGGUAUCUCAGCAAUCCACCCCAACACACAACCCAUCACCUCCCAGUCACUUACAGGAAAUGAUAUACGACGUCAUAGACAAAAAAUGGAUGACAUCACAACUUUUUGUGUACAUACUUGCAUUAUCUCAGGAGCUACAAGUUUGGGACCUGGCAUCAGAAGUCUGCCUGCAGCUCAUCCUCUGCGAAAUGACCACUCUUUUAGACAGCUAUGGCACUUGGCAUGGAAGUGAUCAUCAGUCCCUGUUUGUACUCUUUCUGGCAACUUUGGCACCUGUCAUGAGGCGCCUCCCUGCACCUCAUCCCCUGCAAGGUGGCCAGUCCUUGUUGAUAAUCUUUGAGCCAAGUUUGGCGCCUGUUUGGCGAGGGCUGUGUGCCUGCCUGCCUGCCUGCCUGCGCCCCGUUCGCCCCC